UACGUAGGGGGCAAGCGUUGUCCGGAAUCAUUGGGCGUAAAGCGCGUGUAGGCGGCCCGGUAAGUCCGCUGUGAAAGUCGGGGGCUCAACCCUCGAAUGCCGGUGGAUACUGUCGGGCUAGAGUGCGGAAGAGGCGAGUGGAAUUCCUGGUGUAGCGGUGAAAUGCGCAGAUAUCAGGAGGAACACCAAUUGCGAAGGCAGCUCGCUGGGACGGUACUGACGCUGAGGCGCGAAAGCGUGGGGAGCGAACAGG
rnacentral:rRNA from 1 species